AUUGAACGCUGGCGGCAGGCCUAACACAUGCAAGUCGAACGAGUGGCGGACGGGUGAGUAAUGUCUUGGAAACUGCCUGACGGAGGGGGAUAACUACUGGAAACGGUAGCUAAUACCGCAUACCAUCGGAUGUGCCAAGAGGGGAUUAGCUAGUAGGUGGGGUACAGGCUCCACUGGGCGACGAUCCCUUGCUGGUCUGAGAGGAUGACGAGCGACACUGGAACUGAGACACGGUCCGGACUCCUACGGGAGGCAGCAGUGGGGAAUAUUGCACAAUGGGCGAAAGCCUGAUGCAGCCAUGCCGCGUGUAUGAAGAAGGCCUUCGGGUUGUAAAGUACUUUCAGCGGGGAGGCGUUACCCGCAGAAGAAGCACCGGCUAACGCCGUGCCAGCAGCCGCGGUAAUUC
rnacentral:rRNA from 1 species